GACGAACGCUGGCGGCGUGCCUAAUACAUGCAAGUCGAACGCAGUGGGGACGGGUGAGUAACACGUGGGUAACCUCCCAUCAGAGGGGAUAACACUUGGAAACAGGUUCUAAACAGAUACUGAAGGAUGGACACGCGGUGCAUUAGCGAGUUGGUGAGGUAACGGCUCACCAAGGCCACGAUGCAUAGCCGGCCUGAGAGAGUGAUGGGCCACACUGGGACUGAGAAACGGCCCAGACUCCUACGGGAGGAAGCAGUAGGGAAUCUGCGGCAAUGGACGAAAGUCGGACCGAGCAACGCCGCGUGAGUGAAGAAGGUUUUCGGAUCGUAAACCUCUGUUGUUAGAGAAGCGGUAUCUAACCAGAAAGCCACGGCUAACUACGUGCCAGCAGCCGCGGUAAUAC
rnacentral:rRNA from 1 species